rnacentral:rRNA from 1 species
AGUGAACGCUGGCGGCAGGCCUAACACAUGCAAGUCGAGCGGUUGAGGUAGCUUGCUACCGAAGCAGCGGCGAACGGGUGAGUAAUACAUGGGAAUCUGCCUGGUAGUGGGGGACAACGUUUCGAAAGGAACGCUAAUACCGCAUACGCCCUACGGGGGAAAGGGGGGGAUCGCAAGACCUCUCGCUAUCAGAUGAGCCCAUGUCAGAUUAGCUUGUUGGUGAGGUAAAGGCUCACCAAGGCGACGAUCUGUAACUGGUCUGAGAGGAUGAUCAGCCACACUGGGACUGAGACACGGCCCAGACUCCUACGGGAGGCAGCAGUGGGGAAUAUUGGACAAUGGGCGAAAGCCUGAUCCAGCAAUGCCGCGUGAGUGAUGAAGGCCUUAGGGUUGUAAACUGCUUUUGUACGGAGCGAAAAGGUCUCCUCUAAUACAGGGGGCUCAUGACGGUACCGUAAGAAUAAGCACCGGCUAACUCCGUGCCAGCAGCCGCGGUAA